rnacentral:rRNA from 1 species
CCCCUAGAUGUUCUGGGCCGCACGCGCGUUACACUGAACAGUUCAACAAGUCUUAACCUUGGCCGAUAGGUCUGGGUAAUCUUUGAACGCUGUUCGUGAUUGGGAUAGACCUUUGCAAUUAUGGGUCUUCAACGAGGAAUUCCUAGUAAACGCAAGUCAUCAGCUUGCAUUGAUUACGUCCCUGCCCUUUGUACACACCGCCCGUCGCACCUACCGAUUGAAUGGUCCGGUGAAAUCUCGGGACGGCGGCUUGGUCGCUUGCGUCCGACUGCUGAAACUUGAUUAAACCAUAUCAUUUAGAGGAAGGUGAAGUCGUANCA